UACGUAGGGUGCAAGCGUUAAUCGGAUUUAUUGGGCGUACAGGGUGCGUAGGCGGGGAGAUAAGUCAGAUGUGAAAUCCCGGGGCUCACCUCCGGAACAGCAUUUGAAACUAUUUUUCUUGAGGAUAGGCGGAGAAAACGGAAUUCCACAAGUAGCGGUGAAAUGCGUAGAUAUGUGGAAGAACACCAGUGGCGAAGGCGGUUUUCUAGCUUAGACCUGACGCUGAGGCACGAAAGCUAGGGGAGCAAACAGG
rnacentral:rRNA from 1 species